rnacentral:snoRNA from 1 species
AAACCAUGAUGAGGGCAGCGUCGAAGCAAAUCUUUGUAUCUUUCCCAAGCCUCGUACAACGAUUUAGAGUUAAGUUGCAUGAAAAAAGUAAUAUCAUUUCUCAUCUU